rnacentral:lncRNA from 1 species
UUGGCAACGAAGGCUGCAAUUUAUAUCGUGCUUACUGUAGAUACAUCUAUCGAUAAUGAAGUAAUAAUAUCCGAGUGUAAAUUCCAGCGAUGUAGCUUGCUUCCUUGUUCGAAUUUUGCAGCAUGAUCCGACAGCGAUGGCCAAAACCAAGAAGAAGAAUCGGCGUAGGGACUCCGAUCUAAUAGAUCCUGCAACGCCGGUGAUUGAAAACGAAACUCACGACGAACCAGAGGCUCCAAGACACUUGAUCGAGAUCCUUGGUGAGCAUGGAGAUGUGGGUGUGCAGUGAAUGUCUGCGGUGCUUUUGGGGAAUAGAUUACUCACGAUGUCGAUAUUUCUCACAGGCACUCCUAUCACAAGAUUGACGCUCACAUCAGUCCAGGACAUCCAAGACAGCUGGGGAGACGCCCGUGUGGUGC